UUUAUACCACGUGGGUAUCACUAGGUGGCAGAAAGAAGAGAGGCUUUGUCUACAGUAAGUGUGACCUGUCAACAUCUGAAUGAUUAGUAGCCUAACAGU
ensembl:snoRNA Gm23036 predicted gene, 23036